CUAUGUCAGUUUUCUCUUAGCUGAGAUUUAUAUAAAAAACCUUCUUCUAUACUUCUUUUACGAUUGUCAUAAGUACUGACAAGACGAACUGGUAGAACAGGGCUGCUCAGCUCGAGUGGAUGUUGGGUAAGUUUGUUCGUUGACGUGGAUGGUUUUAGAGAGAGAUAGAGAGAGAGGGACUUUAACGUUCGAGCUCAACCAUGUUUAGAGGUCCAUGCAUGCUCUACGCGGCAGAGCAGCAGGACGAGGAACGACAGAACGAAGGGGUACUUUGGUCGACGAGGCGGCGGCGUCGAAGGCCGCUGGCCACGUCGGCGGCCACACCGUCGUGGUGGCAAGGGAUGGGAAAACCGAAGAGGGAGCCGACGGGGUAGGGCGACAAGACGCUGCGGUCGUAUAGGUGCGGCUAGGAGGGUAUGUAUCCUCUCUUGCCGUGGUGCAUGGCGCACUAUCGGAAGUUGAGGUUGUGGAGGUGGCAGCAACAGCCGGAGGGCGGCAGCACGUCGGCGUCGCAGGGGCUCCGGUUCUCCCUCGAGAGGCCCCCGUUGAUGCCGCACAGCAGAGCGUGGCCAGAAAAGGAGGCGCCGCCGACGUCGCCCUAGUUGCGCAGCCGGCCGCCGCCUACGUCGCACGGGCACCUGCAGUACAGUUCCGACGAGGCGUGCCGCGUCACGUGGCCGGAGCCGUCGCUGUGGAGCGGGCGGCGACACCGCACGCAGCGAAGGCGAGGCGGUUUGAGGUGGCGCCGCCACGUACCGGUCAAAGACGCCACCCUCUUCCAGCUCUUCGUUUUCACGCUGCUGCACGACUGGAGGUGCCACAAGCACGAGUGCCGCCUCCCCUGCCGAUGCGACCUCAAGCCGCACCGGCUCGAGCCGACCACCGAGUUGCCCUGCACGCCGCGGCCGCCCCCGCUCGCAACGCGCCGCUUGCGCAGCACGUGGCUGCAUUUUUGCGGAUCGCCCCUCAACCCCGUGGCCACGCCCACGCACCGCCCCUACCUCCCGCUGCCGAAGAACCGGCCGCUGCCUACGAUGGAGCGAUUCGCCCAAAGGUUCUCCUUGCACCGAAAGUAGCGACGUCCACAGCACCACCCGCACCGCCGCCGCCGGCCGCACGAGGACGACGAGACGACCCGUGCUGCGGCCGCGAGGCCGCCGUUCCCGGCCGUCCCGAGGUCGGCCGAGCGCCGCUACGCCGACGACAGCCUCCGCCGCUGCAGCUCGCCGCACGGCCACAUGAGCAUGUUGCUCCAGCGCGCGCGCUGGUUGAGGAAGAGGCUGUGCGUGGCGGAGCCGUGCCCGCGGAUACCGUGCCAAAUGCAGCCGGCCGAGGGCCGCUUGAGCUGCCGCGAGCACCGGUAGUUCGCGGAGGCGACGGCGGAGCUGCUGGUGCUGCUGCUGCCGCCGUCCCGCCACCGCGACGAGGAGUUGCUCUAGUCCGAGUAGAGGAGCGAGUCGGUGGGGUUGGACCAGGCGGAGGAGCCGACGACGGAGCUGGCGCCGCUCGUCUAGGAGCAGAUGCUCGAGCAGGGGUUGCCGUGGGAGAGGGUGGUGGAGGUGCCGCUGCCGCCGAGGUGCGACGGCACCGCGCGCGCCGAGCCGCAGCGCCGCCCGUGCCGCCGGCGGUAGCGCAUGGACGUGCGGCGCGCGGGCGGGUAGAAGGUGGCGCUGCAGUUCAGGCCGUUGUAGGAGGAGCCGCGGCUGGAGGCGCGCUUCGAGCGGCUGAAGCCGGAGAGGGCGCGGCGCGCGCCGCGGCUCCUGCGCAGCGCGAGGGUGCAGAGGUGGCGCGGCGUCCCGUGCGGCCCCAUGCAGCUGGGCCUCAUGGUGGUCUCGAAGGUGGAGAGGCUGUUCUCGCUGCACAUGUCGAAGCCGCAGCACGACGAGCUCGAGUAGUGGCGGUACUUCCAGCAGCUGAAGCCGGCCGGCCGCUUGCUCCAGUUGGACCGUACGGAGCGCGAGCUGGCCUAGCCGUUCCCCUCUCAGCUCCUCUAGCAGCUGGGCCGCGAGGAGGCAGUGCCGCUCCUCACCCAGUACCUCAGCCAGGCCGUGCAGUCGCUCGAGCGGAAGGUCACGGACCGCAAGCUGUUCCUGCAGGCCGGCAGGUACUCGCUCCACCGGCGGCUCGACACGGCCUAGUCCCUGCGGCGGGGUCCGAGGCCGUACUGCCUGGAGCAGCGGCUGCACCCCGAGCUACCUGGCUUGUGGCGCCGCCGCUUCUUUCGGGCCAGCGGCCACAGCCACGUCCUGCAGACCCAGUCGCUGGCCUCGAGCGUUAGCUGGUUGCCGAGGUACGGUGCGAAAGGCAUCGGUUCAAUAUGGGGUGCACGUGUGUUCUUUCUACUUUUACAUUGAAUUUGUUAAAAAACCCCCACUUCAAGAGGUACCACUUGUACCAACAUGAACAUGUCAACGUGUACAUAAUGAUCGUGUUCUCGUUGAGUGUCCAAGCUUCCCCUUUGUCGCGGUAUCUUUAGUCGUUGAAUCCAAACUGGUUGCGCUGUUCUAACGGUGUUCUCGUGUUUGAAACCAAACUAGUAGUAACGUUGUUCUAGUUUGUGUUCUCGUGUCUGUCUCAACAAGGGUAGGCUUAGUAUAACCGGCGUCGUAACCUUUAUGGGUCAUUAUCAAAAUGUUCACUUAGUAUAAGCGGCGUCGUAACCCUUAUGGAUUGUCAAAAUGUUCGAUGUCUUAGCGUGUUGAAUAGGCCUGAAUCAAAGGAGGUGGUUGGCGCGGCCCGGUGUAUCUCGAAUAGGUGUGAACCAACAAGGAUAUUUACGACUUGGGUACCUCUCGCUUUCUCCGUGUGAUCGAUCAGGUCUUGUCGUAUGAUGUGGAGAUUGUCCCGGAGUCGCUAAGUAGAGUUCUUCUUUUCAUGUCCUACACGAUGUUCCACCUCACGCUGUUUACGCCGUUCUAGUGGACCUUCCCCACGCCGUUCGUACAGCGCAGGCAGAUGCUUCUGUAGCUCUUUCCUUUCGUGACGUGGACGUUCCGCACCGGCCCACAACUGUGUCUACCCAGCAGGAGCUUGUGGUUUCUUCCUCCUCCUUUUCGAACUCAAGAACGUGUGCCUAGUGAUCAAAACGUUGAUGACCUGACUUCCUCUGACGUCAAAACUUAUUUUCGAACGGAGACGAUAGACGAGACAUAAACAAAGACCGAAGAAGCGACUUCAGUGAAAACUACCAUA
rnacentral:rRNA from 1 species